CAGCCGCCGCGGGAAUACGAAGGUCCCGAGCGUUGUUCGGAAUCACUGGGCGUAAAGGGAGCGUAGGCGGCGUGGUAAGUCAGAUGUGAAAUCCCGGGGCUCAACCCCGGAACUGCAUCCGAUACUGCCAUGCUAGAGGAUUGGAGAGGUAGCUGGAAUUCUUGGUGUAGCAGUGAAAUGCGUGGAGAUCAAGAGGAACACUCGUGGCGAAAGCGAGCUACUGGACAAUAACUGACGCUGAGGCUCGAAGGCCAGGGUAGCGAGAGGGAUUAGAUACCCCCGUAGUCCCUGUCUCUUAUAC
rnacentral:rRNA from 1 species